GUGACGCUAGCGGCAGGCCUAAUACAUGCAAGUCGAGGGGUAACAGAAAGUGCUUGCACUUUGCUGACGACCGGCGGACGGGUGAGUAACGCGUAUACAAUCUUCCUCAUACUAGAGGAUAGCCCGAAGAAAUUUGGAUUAAUACUCUAUAGUAUCAUUUAAAGACAUCUUUAUAUGAUUAAAGGUUACGGUAUGAGAUGAGUAUGCGUUCUAUUAGCUUGUAGGUGUGGUAACGGCACACCUAGGCUGCGAUAGAUAGGGGCCCUGAGAGGGGGACCCCCCACACUGGUACUGAGACACGGACCAGACUCCUACGGGAGGCAGCAGUAAGGAAUAUUGGUCAAUGGACGAAAGUCUGAACCAGCCAUGUCGCGUGCAGGAUGAAUGCCCUAUGGGUUGUAAACUGCUUUUAUACAGGAAGAAAAACUUUCUCGUGAGAAAGCUUGACGGUACUGUAAGAAUAAGGAUCGGCUAACUCCGUGCCAGCAGCCGCGGUAAUACGGAGGAUCCAAGCGUUAUCCGGAAUUAUUGGGUUUAAAGGGUCCGUAGGUGGAUAAUUUAGUCAGAGGUGAAAUCCUGCAGCUUAACUGUAGAAUUGCCUUUGAUACUGGUUAUCUUGAGUUAUUAUGAAGUGAUUAGAAUGUGUAGUGUAGCGGUGAAAUGCAUAGAUAUUACACAGAAUACCAAUUGCGAAGGCAGAUCACUAAUAAUCAACUGACACUGAGGGACGAAAGCGUGGGUAGCGAACAGGAUUAGAUACCCUGGUAGUCCACGCCGUAAACGAUGGUCACUAGCUGUUUGGACUUCGGUCUGAGUGGCUAAGCGAAAGUGAUAAGUGACCCACCUGGGGAGUACGUCGCAGAUUACUAAUGAUAC
rnacentral:rRNA from 1 species